rnacentral:rRNA from 1 species
UACGUAGGGGGCAAGCGUUGUCCGGAUUUAUUGGGCGUAAAGCGCGUGUAGGUGGCCAAGUAGGUCCGCUGUGAAAACUUGAGGCUCAACCUCAAGCUGUCGGUGGAAACCCCUUGGCUAGAGUCCGGAAGAGGAGAGUGGAAUUCCUGGUGUAGCGGUGAAAUGCGCAGAUAUCAGGAAGAACACCAAUGGCGAAGGCAGCUCUCUGGGACGGUACUGACACUGGAGACGCGAAAA